UCAAAGUCGAGAUCGAAAUAUAAUGUGUAUAUUAUAUUUAUAAAGGAUGUGUGAAAAUAUCUUUGUUGAACAACCUUGCGCUCUAUGUUUUCUACAUAAAAGUAACUUGAUUUUGAAUCUGUUUGGUGAGUACAUUUACAUAGAAUUAACCUCUUGUUGACCUACUAUAGGUAAUAAGUCACGUAAAUCUAUACCGUCACAGGUGAAUACCUCCGGAAAGCUUGUUUAUUUUAUGAGGCUACACAUGGAGCUUGUAUUUGACCAGUACAAUUAACCAAUUUCAUUUUUUAAAAUCCAAAACAAAGUUCUCACUAGACUUCGAUGAAUAUCAUUUAUGUUACACUGUGGGCCUUGAUGAUUUUCCAGGACAUUUUUCUUAAUUCUAAGGCGUGUAAUCGUAAUUUUCCUGGGCAUUGCCAUUUCGAAGAACACACGAAACAAUAUAUAUGUACUAGAAUAUGUAUAUAAAUACACAUUUAAACAUUUCCUUCCGGAAAAAAACUAACAAAAUCCACGCAAACUAUUCCAAAGAAGUUACAAUUUCAUUUAAUAUAAACAAAUACAUGUACACUAUACUAGCUUCUUGAAUAUCCAAAGAAACUUUACACUUUAUCCACGUUUUGGGCUCAUAAAUUCGGACAAAAUAUUCGAAUGUGUUAACAGAAUGCAACAGAGAAGAUAAUAAUUAAGUUCGGAUUUCAUCUCCCAAUCUUGUGAAUUUUAUCAUAAGACAGAAAGAAUCCGUGUGAAAUAUAAUGAAUAAUAUUUCUUUAUUCCAGCAACUGUAUUUGAAGUGUAUAAUUAUGUAUUUGUACACGUCAUGCAUUGAUCAAUUAUCGAUAAGCAAUGCAGAAUAUUAAAUAUGUACAACAUUUAGCGCGAAAUUCAGAAAUACACAAGUCAUACAUGUCAGGAAGGUAAUAUCAGGGGGAGGGGUGAGACUUUGUUUCGGAGAUAAAUCUUACCCCCCCCCCACCCCCUUAAGAAAAUUAAACGCCUUUACGCUGUACGAUAUGAAUAAGAUAUAUAUACACAUUGAUUUUAAUUUUUUUCAAAUCAAAAUGAGUAAAAUUUUGUCUCCUACAUAAACAAUUUUUUUUUUCAAGUUUGGAAACUGGGUUCCUCUUUUUCUUUCGCUUUAUCAAACUUUUUUCUAUGUAUUUUUUUUUCUAUUUUUUCUCAAAACAACAACUAAAAAUUCCUCGAGAACGAAAAGAAGAACCGCACCCACUACAAGUUAAAAAAAACGAAUAAUAUGCAAAAUAAAAGAUAAAAACAAGCAUUAAUAUUAUCAUAUUUAUCCUAUCUCAAGCUACAGCUCACAAUGUAUUUCUUAAUAUAGUACCUUAUUUAAAUGUCUCCGCCCAUUUUCUUGUAAUAAAAAAACAUGCUCUGUUCGAAAGAAAAUGUUCCGGAAUUUGUAUGUGCGGUAGGUGUUGGAAAAUGGAUUGUAUUUCUUGAUAUUCAAUGUUACAAAUUAUGAGUCACCAUCAUUUUGAUUAGAAAUACUAUGUUAUACAUCAUGAAAAUUAAAAUAAUGUUGUAACUUUAAGUAUAUUCUGUGAUAUAAGGGCGAACAAAGGAACCAAGCUACUAUACUUUAGUGGAAUACUCCUUUUUAGAAAACAAUGAACUGACGUUAAAUGAUUUUCUUUUCAAAAUCUUGAUUUGUGCAUUCAUAUUUUUAGUUUGUUCUCUUUGAUUCAAAAUCCAUGCAAUAAGUUCUUGAGAAAUAUUUUUAAUGAAAAUAUGAACAAACAUUCUGUGUCUUAUUUAACAAUGAGAUUUUACGUCUAUUCUUAUUUAGAAGUCCCGCAGUUCCGUCUUUAUUUCCUGAAUCUAAUAUCAAAAGAGGCAUUGAAAGAUUUUAUUUCAGUGUAUUUCUGACGAAUGAUUACAAUCUAAAUUUUUAUCAGCUUAAAACGUUUUCGUUCACUCUCUAGACCAUAUUUACCGCUCGACCUGCAAUGAGCACAACACCAGAAAGGGAAACAAAUCUUACCACAAACAUAUACCACAAACAAAAUUGGAUACUAACGUCAGUUACAGCAUUUAUAAAUCAACCAAAGACGACAAAAAUCAACAGUGAGACCGCAGUUCCUCCGCAUACUUCAUUAAAUAUAUCACUUGAGGGUAAACCAACAGUCAUAACAGACCAAUUCUCAUACGCAGCAACAACAAUGAAUCAACUGAAAAUAAAGGAAAUUAAUGGUACUACAUAACAGCUAGGCCAAAAUUUCCCUCAAAUUGAAUUUUCUGAAGCGUUGAUAUUUUGUUCUAGAAUACAAAAUCUAUCUUGAUAUAUCAUGAAAAAGAAAUUUAAUCAUAUAUUUUUGCACUCACAGUUAGAAACAUGCCCUAUCAGACCUCUGUAAGAAGGUUCUGGAAUCAGACAUUCGACUUGAGAAUGAGCUUUUUUACAAAAUCAUCAAUUACAUUUUAAUUUAUUGCACAGUUUUGUAAAGCAAUUAUCAAUUAAAAUUAAAGACAACACUUCUGAUACUUAAUUUCAGUAAAAGUAUACUCGUCUGGUAAAUUUGAGUAAAAAUAGAACAUACAUAGAGUUAUGCUUGAAAUUUCACCAUUGAAAUACGUCACAAAGAUCGAGUUAGAAGUAAGAAUUGGUAUUGCGAGUUAGAAUUGGUAUUACGUCACAAUGGUCGGAUUCGUAAUUCAGACUAUUCUGGGUUUUAAUAUUUCAAAGCGAAUGUCAUACCGGUUAAAUAAACUGCGCUAAAAAUAAUGCCGAGAGAUAACAAGGAAAGAUUUAUUAAAGAAUCUCGUCAGAAAGAAGGAUUAACGAUGGGAAGAGAGAAAAGCAAAAUACGUAAUAGCGGUAAAGUGAGUAAUAGUGAGAAAUCUCUUUUGUUUUGUUUAUUUAAUCAUUUUUCUUUAUUCAUAUAUUAAUAUUAUUAUUUAUGUUGUUUGAAUGUCCAAGCAUAUGUAUAAUUGAUACCUAUGUUGCUUACUUGAUAUUAAGUUUUUUCUUUUCUGUCAGUACUAGUAAAUGUUAGGUACUUUUCUGUGCUUUAUAGAUGUCCUUACUCGUGAGAGUCAUAUAUUAUAUAUUUCUCUCUAUUAUUAUUCAUUCCAUCAGCAUGUUCGAUUCAGUGCUUACUAGAGUUACAAUAAUCUGGGGCGUAUUGUACUUUAUAUUUCUUUUACCUGUGAUAGUCAUAAGUUUGCAAAAUAAUUUAUGUUGCUUCUUUAUUUCUUAGUUUAUUUAAAUGGCAGCUAGUAACUGUGCUUGUUUACCCUUAAAGUGUCAUUUCAAUGGUUCAUUUAAAUUAUCUUUUUCUUUUUACUAGAAACGUUUAUUUUUACAGAUGUCGACAAUCAAUACAAUUUACUUGACUUACUUGACUAGUCUUAAUCUUAAGAACAUAUACAUGUAGUUGGAACAGAUCACAAAUAUUUCGAUGGUGAUAAUGGUGUUGACGAUACUUGCCAAAUCACAAAAAAAGUUGUAUUGUCGCAAGAAAAUGAAGAGAAGAAGUCCCAGUGGCGCAGUCGGGUUGUGAAUUUGGGCAUUAUCGCAGACGGGUUGAAGAGCUAUCAACUAUGCGGUCAUCCACUCAAUAACUUGUUCAGUUGUGUGAGCGAAAGAAAGUUCUCCCUAGCACAUGUUUAAAUUGCUAAAUGUAAUUUUUCGGAAUGAGCACCUAAACGAGGUACCAACAGACGGAAAACACAAAACACG